GACGAACGCUGGCGGCGUGCUUAACACAUGCAAGUCGAACGGAAAGGCCCUGCUUUUGUGGGGUGCUCGAGUGGCGAACGGGUGAGUAACACGUGAGUAACCUGCCCUUGACUUUGGGAUAACUUCAGGAAACUGGGGCUAAUACCGGAUAGGAGCUCCUGCUGCAUGGUGGGGGUUGGAAAGUUUCGGCGGUUGGGGAUGGACUCGCGGCUUAUCAGCUUGUUGGUGGGGUAGUGGCUUACCAAGGCUUUGACGGGUAGCCGGCCUGAGAGGGUGACCGGCCACAUUGGGACUAGGAUACGGCCCGGACUCCUACGGGGGGCAGCAGUGGGGAAUAUUGCACAAUGGGCGGAAGCCUGAUGCAGCAACGCCGCGUGCGGGAUGACGGCCUUCGGGUUGUAAACCGCUUUCGCCUGUGACGAAGCGUGAGUGACGGUAAUGGGUAAAGAAGCACCGGCUAACUACGUG
rnacentral:rRNA from 1 species